GACAGAGGGUGCAAACGUUGUUCGGAAUUACUGGGCGUAAAGCGUGUGUAGGCGGUCCUGUAAGUCGGAUGUGAAAGCCCCGGGCUCAACCCGGGAAGUGCACUCGAUACUGCGGGACUUGAGUAUCGGAGAGGUUGGUAGAAUUCUCGGUGUAGAGGUGAAAUUCGUAGAUAUCGAGAGGAAUACCUGCGGCGAAGGCGGCCAACUGGACGAAUACUGACGCUGAGACACGAAAGCGUGGGGAGCAAACAG
rnacentral:rRNA from 1 species